UGUGUGUUAGUUCAAUUGGCAGAGCAAUGCGUUACGGCCGCAAGGAUACAAGUUCGACUCUUGUACAUACAG
rnacentral:tRNA from 1 species